UAAUGGGAGACAGGUGUUAAGAGCGACCGAGAAAAGCUGGGAAAUUACAGAAAGGACCAGGAAUUUUUUCAAGAUCUAUCCGUCGACUGUAUAGGAGCGAUGCCUGAGGACAGAAGCCUGAGAGGGGAGAGAAAAGGGGAGUGGGGAUUCAAACUCUCCUAACCAACUGGAUCAUCUGAUUUCAGCGCAAGGACAUCCACUAAAGUAGGAUGAGACAGGAGCCGACCAAAAUCGAGCUCCUGUCUCACUCAUGGAACGAUUGAAUUUCUACAAGUGUGUGGUUGCACAGUUGUUGGGCCCAGCCAUGGCCCAAACAAAAAGGACUGAACUGCCACACAGAUGACAAAGGAGACUGCUCUGCACAGGCUACAUUGGGGAGGACACACAUGUGAACGUCUUGAGCUCAUUGGCUAAGUAGUAUGUUUCUUCAAACACUCUAUCUUCAAAGAAAUCUUGGAUCCAAAGUAAAGUAUGGCCUGCCGUUUGUGUAUCUGGUGACUGUUCCCUGGCCAAAAAUAAGACUAACCUGAUUGACUGUCUGAGCUUCUAUAGGAAAUAAUCUGAGCCUAAGAUUCUCCAAGGAGAGUCAGGUUGUCUCUAAUUACUAGCGGUUUUCCUUCUACUGCCCUGAAGAAGAUGGGAUUUGAAACCGCAGUUCCUCACGCCUGACGCAUGUGCCAGUCUGAGCUGACGUUUACUCCAGCCGCUAGACGGAGAGAGGCCACCAUGUCUUUUCUGUGAAUCAGACCUGCUGAACUCAACGUGCUCUCCUGUUCAUCAGAAAGGUUCAUUGUAAGAGGUUGUGUCUAGGUAGAGAAAAUUGGUCUAGGAUAAAUCUAUUUAAAUAUUGUUUAUUUCAUUGUGUUUUGCUUUGUUUGUGGUGCUUAACUAUUGAGUGGUUACAGGCCACUGAACCUGAUGCUACAAAAUUAGUUUUUUGUUGUUUUAAAGUGGCAACAAACUUUAUUUCGGUGAGUGGUUUAAACACAUGCUCCAGUAAUGUGAGUUUCAUUUUGUUUGUUAUCCCUUCAUUUCUUUUCACUAACCUGUAAAAAGAAUGUCCACAUUUUCAAUAUAAAUUUUCUAAAUUAUGUUGAUGUUAUACUAGCUGUAAUGCUAAAGCUAAAAGCUCUGCUAACGCUAAGAUGGUAGCUACCAUUAGUUCUGCUGUUUACUGCGAAGCUCCAUCUAUUUGUGCUGUGAUUGACCGUAGCACGCUGCCAGUGCUCAUACACACAUUAACAUUUGUAUUAAUUCAAUUCAAUUCAAUUCAGUUUUAUUUAUAUAGCACCAAUUCACAACACAUGUCGUCUCAAGGCACUUCACAACA